rnacentral:rRNA from 1 species
CAUUAAGCGGUGGAAAAGGAACUACAAGGAUUCCCCCAGUAACUGCGAGUGAAAAGGGAAGAGCCCAGCGCCGAAGNNGNCGNCCAUCACAGUGGGCGGAGGGCAAUGUGGCGUUAAGGAAGAGCCUUCUUGACCUGACGUUUCGUUGUUCGGACCGCGGGAGCCCGAGUCCCCCUGACCGGGGCCACUGCCCAUGGCGGGUGCAAGGCCUCUUCGGCUCCGUUCGACGGUUCGAAGGUUGCUGGCUUCCUUCCUCAGAGUCGGGUUGCUUGAGAGUGCAGCCCUAAGCGGGUGGUAAACUCCACCUAAGGCUAAAUAUCACCACGAGACCGAUAGCGAACAAGUACCGUGAGGGAAAGUUGCAAAGAACUUUGAAGAGAGAGUUCAAGAGUACGUGAAACCGCUCGGAGGCAAACGGGUGGGCCCUCGAAGGUCGAACGGGGGAAUUCAGCCUGUCGGCGAGCGCUUCCUGAUUUUGAAAGAAAAAUAGUACCGUCGAAAAGCAUUCGUGCGAAACGGAUCCGAGAAACCCAAAAAGCGGACCGGGCGGCAGGAGAGAUUUUACAAAAGCGUUCGUCGGCUCGUGCACUUUCCCCUUAGUAGGACGCCGCGACCGGUCGGGUCGAUAAAAGUUUUGCGGCCAUGAGGCGAGAACGAUCACGGAGGCAGGUGUCCGUUUCCGCGGGUCUCGCGGUCAGGGGGCUUCGGCGAUUCGCGUCGUCGUCGCACCUCGCGCGUCUCCCAGGUUCGGAGUUACAGCCUCUUCUCGACCCGUGCACCGCCACCCGACCGACAAAUGGUCACGAAUCCGUAGACGCGUGCCCGCGUGUAGUCAAAUACAACGCUCGCCCUAGUCCAGGGCAGGCCGGAUGCGCGAGUAAAAGUCCCACCUCGGCCCGUUAUCAAACGCGGGUAGGGGAUCCGACGGGCGCCGAAAGCAAAAAACCGAAAAGGCGGUCGUCGGCUCCGCGUCUGCCGUUACGCCCACGUGGAACUGGAAUCUGGCGUAGAGGCAAGAAAAAUUCAAAAAUAAAACGCUCACGGUCGGCGGCGAGUAGGUCGGGCACCUACCCGACUCCGUCUUGAAACACGGACCAAGGAGUCUAACAUGUGUGCGAGUCGUAGGGUCUGCUUUUAAAACGAGCUAAACCCGAUGGCGAAAUGAAAGUGAAGGCCGCCCCUUCGGUGGGGAUGCAGAACGGCCGAGGCGAGAUCCUAAAAAAGUCGGCCUCCCUUUUCCCUCUCUCACGGGGGGGAUUUGCGGAGCCACCGGCGAAAUUUUUAAAAGAAACCGGACAUGGUAGGCACGCCGUCGGUCGUCAAAAAACCGUCGGCGGUCCGGAGGCGCAUCGCCGGCCCGUCUCGAUCGCUCCGAUCUUCCUUCCCGUUCUCCGCUCGCCGUUUCGGCUUUCCCGUCUCGUCACCUCUUUCGCGAGAGGCCGGGGCCGGGGUCGUCGCAUUCGGUUGGGGUUCGGGGGGGUCGAAAGGAAUCUCGGUCGAUGAGGCGGAGCAAGAGCACACACGUUGGGACCCGAAAGAUGGUGAACUAUGCCCGGGCAGGACGAAGCCAGAGGAAACUCUGGUGGAGGUCCGCAGCGAUUCUGACGUGCAAAUCGAUCGUCGGACCUGGGUAUAGGGGCGAAAGACUAAUCGAACCGUCUANNNNNNNNNNNNNNNNNNAAGUUUCCCUCAGGAUAGCUGGCGCUCGGAAACGAAAACGAAAGAAAUGAAACAGUCUCAUCCGGUAAAGCGAAUGAUUAGAGGCAUUGGGGCCGAAACGGCCUCAACCUAUUCUCAAACUUUCAAUGGGUGAGAUGUCCGGCUUGCUUAACGAAUAGAAACAGGGGGGUCGCUCGCGGCUUGUGCGUCUCUUUUCUCGCCUCUUUUUCGAAGUGUUUCGCGACACGGAUGACUGGGAGUGCCGGGAGAUCUGCGCGCGCUCGUCGCGUCGGCCACAAACCCUUGAAGCACGGACGUAGGAUGCGAGUGCCCAGUGGGCCACUUUUGGUAAGCAGAACUGGCGCUGUGGGAUGAACCAAAAGCCGGGUUACGGCGCCCGAUGCGGACGCUUAUCAGACCCCAUGAAAGGUGUUGGUUGCUAUUGACAGCAGGACGGUGGCCAUGGAAGUCGGAA